GAACCUGUAGCUGCGCAGUUCAUGAGUUCACAUCAAAAUGGCGCUCGCUCACUCGCUGUGCGUAGAACGUAGUACUUGUGUAAACGUGUAAAUAAAUUGGAGAUAGCAUACAAGAAAACAGAAAGGGUUCGCGGUUCACCUUUUUUGUAACGGUUUCCUCGGCGUCCUUUACAAAGUCCAGUUGAUAUCGUGUCCUGUCCACGUCCAGGGUGGAUCAGACCUGAUCUACAAAAUCUUGGAGCAGCCGCUUUCGUCGUAUGCCAUUAAAAAAAUUAAAACAUGCCCGUUAUUAAAAUUUGGUCAGUAGACCAAACAAUCAAGAAAGCUGUUCCAAUAAUGGACCCAACUUUAAAAAAUAUCAUUGAAAAAGGUGAGUAAAUCUAAAUUAAUUUGACUUUUCGUAAUGAAAUAUUUUUUGUGUAAUUGUAGAAUGUAGUGUAUUGUAGAAUAGACUAUAAUUGGAUACCUACUGUUAAGCAUUAAUGUGCUGACUCAAACCACAUUUAUUUUGCAGUAUGAUGUCAAUUUAAAAAUUUGACGCUUGAAGUUGACAAGAUAGAGCUGAUGCUGAACCCUGGCUGUACCUAGUGGAACUCAGGUUUGGUGCAACAUAGGCCCACGCUAUUUUGAUCAUCCGUCACAUAGAGGGAGAGCAAUACCCAAGAUAUAAUUCAUAAUCCAUUUUCUUCCAGAUGAGGUACCAUCCUAAAUAUAGUAGUUCCAUUUACUAAUCUUAUUAACUUUUUCUUUUCCAGGAACCAUUAACCAGGGUUCAAGUUGCAGAGCUAUCCGAAAUAGCUGCGCCUAACAUUGUAUUUUUAGAUAAUGAAAAUAUAAUUAUAUUACUUGCUGGUAGAAAAAACGAUUGUUAGCGAAACAGAUUCUGCCUACGUCGUUACAACUAUUGAUGGCGGCUUACUGCAACUUGAACAUGGAAUAUCCAGUGGACUGUCAAAACACAUUAGAAUUUAUACAAAGGUAUAUUUUUAUUAAAAUAAAUCCUAAAGAAGGAAGUCAUAAGUAAUAGUUUUUGAUUUUUAAAAAGCGUUUUUCAAUUAAAAGACAUGUCAAGAUCGCUUAACUUCUUGCAAGUUCUUUCUAAUGCUAAAAAAACUAACUAUAAUUAAUGUCAGUAACAAACAUUUUCAGACAAUUCGUUACUUGAAAUGGUAUAGGUUUCACGCAUUAGAUUCACAUAGGCCUUAUUAACCGAAACUUUUAUAAGACUAAUUCAUAAGAAGUACUUAUGUACAUAAGAUAUAAUUUAUAGUGUCGUAUAUGUCUUCUACUUUUUGUACUCUGUCACAGAAUAAAUAAUAAUAAUAUGCACGUAGACGUGUAUAUACGCGUGUGCUCUAUAAUUUUAGUGUGUGAAAUUCAAUAAAUUUAUUUCUUUGUAAUUUUGUUUUUUAUUAAAUAACCUCCAAACUGUAAAUUGCUUGUUGUUUGUAUAUUAUGACUGAUAAAAUUAGUUCGUUUUACAUGUUAUUAGGCGAUAUUUCCUAAAGAAUUCAAUACAAAUUUUGUACAUUUACAUGCUAUCGAUAAUUCUCAGGAUUUUGCUAUUAGCAAGUUGGUAUUUGUUUUCUUAUGUACUUUAAUAAAUGCAGUCUGCAGACAGGCUGCAUUAAUUAAAAUACAUAAGAAAAAAAACUAACGAAUGGUUAAUAACUAAAUCCGGAGAAUUACCGUAAAUGUACAGAAUUUGUAUUGAAUUUUACAGAAAAAUAUCCCCUAAUAACAUGAAAUAUUACCUAAUUUUACAGGUAAUAAUACACAAACAACAAGUAAUUUUACCUUGCCCAUAUUUAAAAUCACAGUUUUCUUAUGUAAAAAUACAUAAAUUGUAUCAGUAAUAUUACCGAAUAAAAUGGAAAAAUACUUAAAAAUCAUUAAAAAUACAUAAAGUUUGUGGUAAA